rnacentral:rRNA from 1 species
GCAGUCGGACGGUAGCACAGAGAGCUUGCUCUUGGGUGACGAGUGGCGGACGGGUGAGUAAUGUCUGGGGAUCUGCCCGAUAGAGGGGGAUAACCACUGGAAACGGUGGCUAAUACCGCAUAACGUCGCAAGACCAAAGAGGGGGACCUUCGGGCCUCUCACUAUCGGAUGAACCCAGAUGGGAUUAGCUAGUAGGCGGGGUAAUGGCCCACCUAGGCGACGAUCCCUAGCUGGUCUGAGAGGAUGACCAGCCACACUGGAACUGAGACACGGUCCAGACUCCUACGGGAGGCAGCAGUGGGGAAUAUUGCACAAUGGGCGCAAGCCUGAUGCAGCCAUGCCGCGUGUAUGAAGAAGGCCUUCGGGUUGUAAAGUACUUUCAGCGGGGAGGAAGGCGGUGAGGUUAAUAACCUUACCGAUUGACGUUACCCGCAGAAGAAGCACCGGCUAACUCCGUGCCAGCAGCCGCGGUAAUACGGAGGGUGCAAGCGUUAAUCGGAAUUACUGGGCGUAAAGCGCACGCAGGCGGUCUGUUAAGUCAGAUGUGAAAUCCCCGGGCUUAACCUGGGAACUGCAUUUGAAACUGGCAGGCUUGAGUCUUGUAGAGGGGGGUAGAAUUCCAGGUGUAGCGGUGAAAUGCGUAGAGAUCUGGAGGAAUACCGGUGGCGAAGGCGGCCCCCUGGACAAAGACUGACGCUCAGGUGCGAAAGCGUGGGGAGCAAACAGGAUUAGAUACCCU